UACGAACCGGCCAAACGUUAUUCGGGAUCAUUGGGCUUAAAGAGUGCGUAGGCGGCGCCGUAAGUCGGGUGUGAAAUCCCUCGGCUCAACCGAGGAACUGCGCCCGAUACUGCGGCGCUCGAGGGAGACAGGGGUGAGCGGAACUGAUGGUGGAGCGGUGAAAUGCGUUGAUAUCAUCAGGAACACCGGUGGCGAAAGCGGCUCACUGGGUCUCUUCUGACGCUGAGGCGCGAAAGCUAGGGUAGCGAACGGG
rnacentral:rRNA from 1 species